GACUGUGCUGUAAUAUGUUUUUCCUGCACUGAGAUGUUAGAAGACGAAAAAUGUCAACACGUUACUACAUGUCAGGACAAUGAGGUUUGCUUCAUACAAACAUACAGGACUGCUGAUAACAGAAGACUAUACGACGUAGGAUGUACACACAAUCAGCUUUGCCCAUUAAACAGUACAGCGGUUGCUUUUGGGAGACGGACUGUAGACCAUAGCCAUAUAAUGUGUCACGAGUGUUGUAAUGGGAACGUGUGCAACUCUGCCUUCACUUGUGACGACCAC